rnacentral:tRNA from 1 species
UCCUGGUGGCUCAGAGGUUAAAGCGUCUGCCUGCAAUGCGGGAGACCUGGGUUCGAUCCCUGGGUCAGGAA